UACAGAGGUCUCGAGCGUUAGGCGGAAUCACUGGGCUUAAAGCGUGUGUAGGCGGAUUGGUAAGUACUUUGUGAAAUCCCACGGCUUAACCGUGGAACUGCUUGGUAUACUGCCAGUCUUGAGCCAGCUAGGGGCUACCGGAACAAAUGGUGGAGCGGUGAAAUGCGUAGAUAUCAUUUGGAACGCCAAUGGUGAAAACAGGUAGCUGGGGCUGUGCUGACGCUGAGACACGAAAGCCAGGGGAGCAAACGGG
rnacentral:rRNA from 1 species